rnacentral:lncRNA from 1 species
GUGGAGUCUUUUAAACCCCAGAAGCAAGUACACAGAAAACACAGAAAUCACGAAGCACGAGCUACAGUCCACGAACAAUAUGAAUAUUAAUACAAAGAGUAAAUAUAGGUUAAAAAAGAUUCUUUUGGAGUUUUUUUGAAGUUGUUUUUAUGUUUUUUAAACCAGAACAGACGACGAAAAUGAAGAGGAUGUGCCUCCAGAGGAGGAAAGGGAUUUGGGUGCUGAAUCCCAGAAUCAGAAGGCCAUGGAAGAGCCUGACAUCUUCAGAAGUCUGGACUGAGAAGAACAAUGCAAAGACUAGAACAAGUGAGAUGUUUUACAGCUCCAGAAAGCUAAGCAAACCACCUCAGACUGAGAACAUAAGGAUCGACACUGUCUUAACAAGGAUGACGUUGGGGCUUUUAUAGAUUGCUCUCCGAGGAGCAGUAGUCUUAAUGCCAUGAAGAUUUGCCAGAAUAAUAACCAGCGACCUUAGCAAGUAAAACCCAAGUCUCGGAAUCUGAAUGUAUUCAUCAGUAUGCUCCCUGGCGCUAAUGGUAACAAGUGAGUUAUAUACCUAUGUAUAUAGAGCUCCAUUUGAGAACUGUCGUGGGACAAGUUAAGUUCACAUCAGCUACUGCUUAAAGCGAAAGUGGCCAAUAUAUUACCAAGAUGUAACAAAGACAAGCGCUGCAUGUGAUGUAUGCGCACACCUCUAAAGCAUCCUUGCUGUAGAUGCUCCUCUCUUCCAGGCGUUUGACCUCCAGGGUGACAACAAUCCACAGCACCUUAAAUCCCACUUAGGUUUUCUAAGUGCGGGUGGCAGCUCAAACCUCCACAGAAACUGCUGAGAUGAAGAUGGAGCACUGGAUACUAUGGCCAGCUGGCUCCAGAGGCAGUUUCUACACAAAGGAGGAGGUCAAGUGCAAUUUUUUUCUGCCCUUCAAAGCGAAGUAGAUUUGUCUCUGAGGGUUCCAGCCUCUAUGGCUAUCACCCUAAAAUUGACAGCGUUUUACCCAUGCCGGUGUAAAGCAUGAAAUCUUGUAGGUAUCAGCUAACCCGCUUCCUGAGUGGAAGCUACACAGAGAUGUGCAAGGAGACAGCAUGAAAUUCAACGGUGAGCUGACCAAAGAGACAAUCACCGAUUCCUUCUUAUGCCCGAGGGUUCUGAUCCUCCAGUCAUGCCAAGUUUUUCUGUGGUAACUAAAAGAUCAUCACCCCACUGUCUGCAAUGCAGUACCAUUUGAAAUAAGUUAUCAUUUUGCAUGGAUAUGACAGAAUAAGUAGCACGUUUUCUUCUUAGC